rnacentral:lncRNA from 1 species
UUUUGGUUCUAGGUGCCUUGGCCCAAAAUCGCCGCUCGCCAGCCGUUGUGUUGCACUCGCCCACUUCUAUUCUCACUUCAACUGUAAGUUCUCCGAAUUCUCUCACCCUCAUUUUCAGUUAUGUCAACAGAUUGUUUUCUGGUGUUUCCACUUCAUAUUCCCUUUUCUUUAUGUUGCUGAGUUGGAUGGGUUCAAAUCCUUUAUUGGCUCUACUGUUAUAGCUACUGAAUUUAUCGAUAUUUCUGUUGGAGAUUAACUAAUUAGCUGCAUCAGUAAAUGAGCAUCUGUAUGUUGUAAGCUAAAACUUUCGCUGCAUUAAUCACCACAAUUUAAUCUAAUCCCUUAUUUGUUGCAUUUGUGUUUUGAUUAUAAUUUAUGAAAUGACGGUGUAAGUUUGAAUCUCUUGAGGAUUACCAAGUGAAGAUGUAAUGAAUGUGUUUGAUUCCCCUACCCUUUUUUUAGUUUUCUAAUUAAUCUUAUCUUUUGGACUUUUGGUUGCUUACCUCAAUUCAAGAUGUGGGAAUGUUUCAUAUUCAUAUGCUUUUAUUUACAAUUCUGAGUUAAUUUACAGCCAACUAAAAGAAGUUGUUUUGUUAAGCAAUCGAAAGUAUUUGUUCUGAUCUUUACUGGGGUGGAAACAGGAGGGGUUUUAGAGCAUGCCGUUAAUAAUUGUAAUGAGUCUGGAACAGGCGUUUUGAAAUUAUAAGUGGACUUCAUGGUCUAUAUUUGUGCUGUAGAAACUAUAUUUGUUACAGGCUUUUUGAAAUAAAAUGUGGACUUUCAUAGCUAUCAACUGUACAGAAACAUUCUAAAUUAGUGAAAGAAAUUCUGUUGCAAAUGAUGCAUCUCUGUUCUCUACAUUUGGAGAGGAAUAUAAUGAGAUAUUGUUUUGUUUUACUGCAUUCCAUGAUAUUUUAAACUCAAAUAAUUGUUUUGUUUUCGAUGGGUGUUGAUGGGUGAUUUAAAUUUAAAUAUGGACAGGUUGGAUUGAAGAUUGAAGAUACGAGGGAAGAGGAAGAAGAGGAGGAGAAUGAGCAAGAUGAAUGAAGAGGGCUAACAUUUUAGUGUUGUUGCCUCUGCAAAUGGCCUCAAUCCGAAGUAGGAGAAAACCAAGAACGGCCCCAAACCGGGCAGUCUGAAGCAGGAGAAAACCAAGAAGUUGAUCUCCAGCAGCGCCCCAGAUCAUACUGAUCCAAAGCUGUCAAGUUUUCUACCGAAAAAGAAAGUUAAAUGGAAGCCUGAUGCCAAGGUGGUCGAAGCCACAUUCCGCCUCGAGAAGCUGGUGGUUUUGUAGGGCGGAGAAACGACAUUAACUUGAUAAUCACUUGGGUGUUGUUUAUCUGUGUAAAGCAUUGAACUACCGUUGAUAGUUGAUUACAGUUGAUAGUUGAGUAGUUUUUUAGUUAGAUUUUUUGUUAUGGUGUAUUAAUCUUUGUGGUAAUUUUGGUAAUUAUUGCCACUGAACUACAGUUUAUAGAGGAUUUUGAAGGUUCUCUAUUACAAGUUAGAUUAGUUGUAGAGCUCAUAGAUUAAAUUUGGCCGUCUCUUUUCUCUUUUUGUUGUGGGGAAGGUUGACUACUAUUUUAUUGGUG